CCCUUAGAUGUCCUGGGCCGCACGCGCGUUACACUGAUGCAUUCAACGAGCUUAUAACCUUGGCCGAGAGGCCUGGGCAAUCUUGUUAACGUGCAUCGUGAUAGGGAUAGAUUAUUGAAAUUAUUAAUCUUGAACGAGGAAUUCCUAGUAAACGCAGAUCAUCAAUCUGCAUUGAUUACGUCCCUGCCCUUUGUACACACCGCCCGUCGCACCGACCGAUUGGAUGGUCCGGUGAAGCCUCGGGAUUGUGGUUCUUGCCGCUUUAUUGUGGCGUGACCGCGAGAACUUGUCUAAACCUUAUCAUCUAGAGGAAGGUGAAGUCGUAACA
rnacentral:rRNA from 1 species